rnacentral:rRNA from 1 species
GUAGUCCACACCGUAAACGAUGGGUACUAGAUGUCGGGGGUUCUUGUCCCCUCGGUAUCGUAGCUAACGUGUUAAGUACCCCGCCUGGGAAGUACGGCCGCAAGGUUAAAACUCAAAGAAAUUGACGGGGGCCCGCACAAGCGGUGGAGUAUGUGGUUUAAUUCGAAGCAACGCGCAGAACCUUACCUAGGCUUGACAUCCCGUGCUACCCUAUGAAAGUAGGGGUUUCCUUCGGGAACACGGUGACAGGUGCUGCAUGGCUGUCGUCAGCUCGUGUCGUGAGAUGUUGGGUUAAGUCCCGCAACGAGCGCAACCCUCGCAAUUAGUUGCCAGCAUUCAGUUGGGCACUCUAGUUGGACCGCUUGCCGAUAAGGCAGA